GAUGAAGAAUGCAGCGAAAUGCGAUAAGUUAUGCGAAUUGCAGAAUCCGUGAGUCAUCGAAUCUUUGAACGCACAUUGCGCCCUCUGGUAUUCCGGAGGGCAUGCCUGUUCGAGCGUCAUUAUCACCCCUCAAGCCCGGCUUGUUGUUGGAUGCAGCGCUUAUCCCGCUCCUCCCAAAGAUAAUGACGGCGUCUGCGACGACUCCUGUACACUGAGCUUUCGGGCACGUACACGGCUAGAAGUCCAGACCCGGUCGCCGUCCCCCCCGCGGGGACACCCAUUACCACAAGGUUGACCUCGGAUCAGGUAGGAAUACCCGCUGAACUUAAGCAUAUCAAUAAGCGGAGGA
rnacentral:misc_RNA from 1 species